UUCUCUUCAUGAUCCAUACCAAGCCUACAUCAUUUGGGUUGAUCCUUAAGAAUUUUUCAUACAUAUUUUAGUGUAAAUGACUUCUUUUUGAUUUUGGGUUUAAACAUAGCAUGGGCUCUAUCCAUCAGCAUUUCAUCAUAUCACCACUACAAAAAUCUAUUUGGCCAUAAACCCCACUAAAGUUGGCAACAACCAUACAUAUUUUUUCCCAAUGUCAUUUCAGUUGUCCCUUUGACCUUGUUCUUUC
rnacentral:lncRNA from 1 species